UCGGGAAUUUUGUGCAAUGGGCGAAAGCCUGACACAGCAACGCCGCGUGAAGGAUGAAGUCCCUCGGGAUGUAAACUUCGUAAGAAUAGGAAGAAUAAAUGACGGUACUAUUUGUAAGGUCCGGCUAACUACGUGCCAGCAGCCGCGGUAAUACAGAGGGUGCAAGCGUUGUUCGGAAUCAUUGGGCGUAAAGGGCGUGUAGGCGGUAUGUUAAGUCAUGUGUGAAAUCCCUCGGCUCAACCGAGGAACGACGCAUGAAACUGGCAAGCUAGAGUACCAAGAGGGUGGUGGAAUUCCCGGUGUAGCGGUGAAAUGCGUAGGAUAUCGGGAGGAACACCUGUGGCGAAGGCGGCCACCUGGUUGGAUACUGACGCUGAGACGCGAAAGCGUGGGGAGCAAACAGGAUUAGAUACCCAGGUAGUCCCUGAGCGGGCUGGCAAGGCGCAU
rnacentral:rRNA from 1 species